rnacentral:tRNA from 2 species
CAGUAGGGUCAGCUAAUUAAGCUAUCGGGCCCAUACCCCGAAAAUGCCACAUGGCCCCUACUAA